GCCCAGACUCCUACGGGAGGCAGCAGUGGGGGAUAUUGCACAAUGGGGGCAACCCUGAUGCAGCGACGCCGCGUGAGCGAUGGAGUACUUCGGUAUGUAAAGCCCUAUCGGCAGGGAAGAAAUUGGACGGUACCUGACUAAGAAGCCCCGGCUAACUACGUGCCAGCAGCCGCGGUAAUACGGAGGGGGCAAGCGUUAUCCGGGUUCACUGGGUGUAAAGGGAGCGUAGACGGCCAUGCAAGCCUGGAGUGAAAGCCCGGGGCCCAACCCCGGGACUGCUCUGGGAACUGUGCGGCUGGAGUGCGGGAGGGGCAGGCGGAAUUCCUGGUGUAGCGGUGAAAUACGUAGAUAUCAGGAGGAACACCGGCGGCGAAGGCGGCCUGCUGGACCGCGACUGACGUUGAGGCUCGAAAGCGUGGGGAGCAAACAGGAUUAGAUACCCUCGUAA
rnacentral:rRNA from 1 species